rnacentral:rRNA from 1 species
AGCGAACGCUGGCGGCAGGCUUAACACAUGCAAGUCGAACGGGCACUUCGGUGCUAGUGGCAGACGGGUGAGUAACACGUGGGAACGUACCUUUCGGUUCGGAAUAAUACAGGGAAACUUGUACUAAUACCGGAUACGCCCUUCGGGGGAAAGAUUUAUCGCCGAUAGAUCGGCCCGCGUCUGAUUAGCUAGUUGGUGAGGUAAUGGCUCACCAAGGCGACGAUCAGUAGCUGGUCUGAGAGGAUGAUCAGCCACACUGGGACUGAGACACGGCCCAGACUCCUACGGGAGGCAGCAGUGGGGAAUAUUGGACAAUGGGCGAAAGCCUGAUCCAGCCAUGCCGCGUGAGUGAUGAAGGCCUUAGGGUUGUAAAGCUCCUUUGUCCGGGAAGAUAAUGACUGUACCGGAAGAAUAAGCCCCGGCUAACUUCGUGCCAGCCGCCGCAGUAAAAC